AUUGAACGCUGGCGGCAGGCCUAACACAUGCAAGUCGAACGGUAACAGGAAGAAGCUUGCUUCUUUGCUGACGAGUGGCGGACGGGUGAGUAAUGUCUGGGAAACUGCCUGAUGGAGGGGGAUAACUACUGGAAACGGUAGCUAAUACCGCAUAACGUCGCAAGACCAAAGAGGGGGACUUUCGGGCCUCUUGCCAUCGGAUGUGCCCAGAUGGGAUUAGCUAGUAGGUGGGGUAACGGCUCACCUAGGCGACGAUCCCUAGCUGGUCUGAGAGGAUGACCAGCCACACUGGAACUGAGACACGGUCCAGACUCCUACGGGAGGCAGCAGUGGGGAAUAUUGCACAAUGGGCGCAAGCCUGAUGCAGCCAUGCCGCGUGUAUGAAGAAGGCCUUCGGGUUGUAAAGUACUUUCAGCGGGGAGGAAGGAAGUAAAGUUAAUACCUUGGCUCAUUGACGUUACCCGCAGAAGAAGCACCGGCUAACUCCGUG
rnacentral:rRNA from 1 species